AGCGAACGCUGGCGGCAGGCCUAACACAUGCAAGUCGAACGGAUCCUUCGGGAUUAGUGGCGGACGGGUGAGUAACACGUGGGAACGUGCCUUUUGGUUCGGAACAACGCAGAGAAAUUUGCGCUAAUACCGAAUGUGCCCUUCGGGGGAAAGAUUUAUCGCCAUUAGAGCGGCCCGCGUCUGAUUAGCUAGUUGGUGAGGUAAAGGCUCACCAAGGCUACGAUCAGUAGCUGGUCUGAGAGGAUGAUCAGCCACAUUGGGACUGAGACACGGCCCAAACUCCUACGGGAGGCAGCAGUGGGGAAUCUUGCGCAAUGGGCGAAAGCCUGACGCAGCCAUGCCGCGUGAAUGAUGAAGGUCUUAGGAUUGUAAAAUUCUUUCACCGGGGACGAUAAUGACGGUACCCGGAGAAGAAGCCCCGGCUAACUUCGUG
rnacentral:rRNA from 1 species